UAGGGAAUCUUCCACAAUGGACGCAAGUCUGAUGGAGCAACGCCGCGUGAGUGAAGAAGGUUUUCGGAUCGUAAAGCUCUGUUGUUGGUGAAGAAGGAUAGAGGCAGUAACUGGUCUUUAUUUGACGGUAAUCAACCAGAAAGUCACGGCUAACUACGUGCCAGCAGCCGCGGUAAUACGUAGGUGGCAAGCGUUGUCCGGAUUUAUUGGGCGUAAAGCGAGCGCAGGCGGAGUGAUAAGUCUGAUGUGAAAGCCCACGGCUCAACCGUGGAACUGCAUCGGAAACUGUCAUUCUUGAGUGCAGAAGAGGAGAGUGGAAUUCCAUGUGUAGCGGUGGAAUGCGUAGAUAUAUGGAAGAACACCAGUGGCGAAGGCGGCUCUCUGGUCCGCAACUGACGCUGAGGCUCGAAAGCAUGGGUAGCGAACAGG
rnacentral:rRNA from 1 species